rnacentral:misc_RNA from 1 species
UUUCCGUAAGUGAACCUACAGAAAGAUUAUUACUAAGUUCGUGCCCUUUAGGGCCGUUCUCCUACCCUUGUCUACUAUACUUCUGUUGCUUUGGCGGGCCGCCCUCACAGCCACCAGCCCCUAGCUAGUACGUGCCUACUAAAGGCCCUAAACUCUAUGUUAGUGGUCUCGUCUAAGUAGAACUUGAAUAGUUA